rnacentral:rRNA from 1 species
GACGUAGGGGGCAAGCGUUAUUCGGAAUUAUUGGGCGUAAAGCGCUCGUAGGCGGGACAGGAAGUCCGUGAAGAAAGACCUGGGCUCAACUCAGGGACCGGCACGGAUACUCUUGUUCUUGAGGCAAUCAGAGGGUGAUGGAAUUCCCGGUGUAGCGGUGAAAUGCGUAGAGAUCCGGAGGAACACCAGUGGCGAAGGCGACACGCUGGGCCGUACCUGACACUGAUGCGCGACAGCAUGGGGAGCAAACAGG